AGAUAAUGGGCAAAGCACACGGUCCGACUAAUGUUUAUGCCUCGUGACUUUGAACGAUGAGAUAUAAUAUUAUGCAAAUUCGAGGUCAAUGAAACUGUGUUAAAAUUUGAAUACAGGUUUUAUAUAAAUCAGAGUUUGAUUAUAUAUAUCGUCCUUAAAAUUUGAAUUCAAGUUUUAUGAUGCUCUUAUCUUUGCUGAAAAGGAGAAAAGGCAGCAGCUGAUGAAUUUUAUGGUCACUGAGGAGGCUAUCUUGAAGCAGAAGAAUCCAACGGUUGAAUUUGGGCCAUGGAAAUAACUCAUUCUUUUACAAAUCUGUCAAGGUGCAUCAUUCUCGUGGUACUAUUAGAUCAUUGCCGUCUGAGGAUGGUAGGAGGUCGGAUAGCAUUAUGGAUAUAAAAGAGGAGUUAUGCUAAUGCACAGGGGAUUCAGUGACAGCAGCUAUUCUCGAGUUUUUUCUCGACUUGCAGGAUGCUUCGACAAGUAAACUCUACAAUUCUUACUCUGGUGCCGAAAAAGCUGAAUGCAGAUUAUAUGAGAGAUUUCAGGCCCAUCUCCUGGUGCAAUUUAAUCUAUAAAGUCAGAUUCAGUGAUAGCAGCCAUUCUCGAGUUUUUCUCGACUUGCAGGAUGCUUCGACAAGUAAACCUAUAAUUCUUACUCUGGUGCCGAAAAAGCUGAAUGCAGAUUAUAUGAGAGAUUUCAGGCCCAUCUCCUGGUGCAAUUUAAUCUAUAAAGUCAUCACUGAGGUUCUUGCUAAGAGGUUGAGGGAUGUUCUCCCUUCCCUUGUUAGUAAGAAUCAAAAACUGCAUUUACAAAAGGCAGUAGGAUUUCUGAUAACAGUUUGGCUUGCUUGUUCAGGAGCUCCUGAGGUGCAAAAGGGAUGAGUUCUCGGUGUGCUUUAAAGAUUGAUCUGAUGAAGGCGUUUGAUUCUCUCGAUUGGAAGUUCUUGGAGAAUAUUAUUCUCAAGGCCGUCGGUUUCCCGACUAAUUUUGUCAAAUGGAUAGUUUCUUGUAUAACUUCUCCGUGGUUUUCCAGUGGCGAUUAAUGGAUCCCUUGCAGGUUAUUUUAAAGGUGGUAAGGGAGCUAGGCAGGGGGAUCCAAUUUCUCCCUAUCUAUUUGUUUUAGCCAUGGAGGUGUAAUCUCGGCUCUUGGACUCAGGCUGCUGCUGAUGCUAGAUUGGGUGUCCAUCCAAAAUGUCGAGGUGAAUAUCAAGUUCAGGAGAUCCUUGAUCUAACCCGAUUUAAAUCGGGUUCUCUUCCUAUCAAAUACUUGGGGCUACCGUUGGUCUCUGGUAGAUUAUCCACAGAGGACUGCAUGGCUUUAACUGAUAAGAUCACAGAUGGGCUCAAGUCCGUGAAAGUUUAAGUGAGAAUUUUACAUGGUUUCAGAGCGGGUUAUACUUGUACCACGCCAGAUUCAAUUUCGAGGUAGCCAAAAGUGCGGUUUACUAUUUCAGAGGUGUGGAAGGAGAUGCAUGAAUUAAUUGGUAAUUAAUUAGUGAAGAGAAGAGCAUCUUGGUGUCCAAAAGCCUAACAGAUUCCGACUAAUUCAAUUCGAGCUGGGUUGGCCCACUAAAGGGCAUAUAUACGCAGAGUCAACAUUUCCAAUUGCUGCUGUCUGUAUGGCGAAAGCAACAGAUGCGUACGGAGUGAAGCAAUAAGCAACGUAAGAUGAAUGUAUACUUCUUCUCCAGCUCGUGUCCCCAAGCCUAUAAGCUGCACGGUCGGAGUAACAAUGGUGAUAAAAAUGCGUACGCCGACUCUCGAGAUGAUCCCAAGGAAAGGAAGAAAGUUUUCGAUGUCUCAUGAUAUGGGAUGAAUAGUCACUCCGGAAUAUCUUUCCCCUGUGCAAACUCGAUCGCGUCAUACUUGUUAGAAACUUUUUUCGAGCUGCUUUGGCAACAAAUUUGUCCAGUGGAACGACUUAUCGAUGCGGACCCUAGUGAAGAGGCCACCAGCUUACUUAAGAGAGCAUGGACAUACAUGGAAAGGCCAUGGUCUCCCUUCCAUAUCGUGGUAGUAUUAAUGGCCGAGUUAUUAAGAAAAAAGUAAAUACUUAAAUACUUAUAACCAUCCAAAUUUCCCCACAAGGCAGAUGUCAUAUUCGUCUCACAAAAAAAUUGUGAGUAUUAAUUAACGUCCAAAACAAGAUUAGUCUCAGUUUAUAAGUUGAGUAUACCCUUGAUUUUACCAAGAAAAAAAAUCAUAACAAUUGAAAAGAAAAGCGUCAAAAUACAACACUACCCUAGUAAUGUAUUAUCAAGUAAAGAGUUC